rnacentral:rRNA from 1 species
UUCCGUAGGUGAACCUGCGGAAGGAUCAUUCGCACAAAGAAUAUCUUUUACACCCGCCACGCACCACACAGUGCUUUCUGUUUUUAAUCAGGAUUUAUAUCCAACUCGUCGAUGUUGCGAUUCCAUUGCAAUGUAUGCGAUGUUAUCUAUCUCUUGCGACGACGAAUGCCUUGGCUCGAGGAUCGUUGAAGGACGCAGCGAACUGUGCUAAACAUCUCGAAUUGCAGAUUUCCGAGAAAGAAAAGGAUUCUGAACGCACUUUGCGAAUUGACCUCGUGUCAGUUCACUUGAUUGGCGGUGACCGCAAUAUGCAGUCGCUCGAACUCCGAAGUCUGAGUGGUGUGCACGUGUUGUUGCAGAUUGUUGCACCGACAUGUUCGUAGAAUUCGACGCGCCUCUCGUUUUCGAGCAGCAUUAUGACUUCGUGUUAUGAUGUUCGAAAGCAGGGACCGUUUCUUGUUUGGUUUUCCAAACGAUUCUUUCGCACGCUCACGACCAGUCAAGGGAUUACCCGCUGAAUUUAAGCAUAUCAA